GGAAGUAAAAGUCUAACAAGGUUUCCGUAGGUGAACCUGCGGAAGGAUCAUUAUUGUAUAACCGAGAUGCGAGGGCUGUCGCUGACCCGAAAGGUCGUGCACGCCCGAGUGCCCUCACACACAUCCAUCUCACCCCUAUGUGCACCACCGCGUGGGUCCCCCUUUGGCUUGUUCGGAGGGGGGCUUACGUUUUCACACAAACUUUGUAUGCAGUGUAGAAUGUAUUUUUUGUUUUUGCGAUCACGCAAUCAAUACAACUUUCAACAACGGAUCUCUUGGCUCUC
rnacentral:misc_RNA from 1 species